UUUAUUAAAUCUAUUGAAAAAUAUUUAUAAAACAAUUUAUAAAUCGAACGAUUAUUUAUUCACAUAAAUAAUCAUUUUUAUUCUUUAAUCUUAUUAUAAAUAUGUUUUAAAGACUGGGGCGCUACAUUAAAUGAACUGAGAAACUGUACAAAAAGGACUGUGAGUAUUCCUUACUCACUCAAAAUGAUCAUGUAGAGCUUUCUUUAAUGUUUUGAUAUCUGCUUUAUUUAAUAGUAUGCAACUUGUUUGGAGCAUAUUGUUUGUAAUAUGACAUGUUUUAGUAUUAAAGCAUAGAGACAAAUAGGAAGCCCUGUAAGGGAUAGACAACCCAGUUGGUGGGUUUGAAGCUCUGAGAGAUAGACAUCCUCGGUUUUGAAGCUCUGAGAGAGAUAGACAACCCAGUUGGUGGGUUUGAGGCUCUGAGAGAGAUAGACAUCCAUGGAUUUAGGAAAGAUACACAUCCUCGGGUUUGAGGCCCUGAAAGGGAUAGACAGCCCAGGAUUGAGGCCCUGAGAAUAGAAUAGAGGCCCUUGGCAAAGGAAUAGAGAUUCUGGAGUUUGAGUCCUUGGCUUAAGUGUUUAUAAUUGUCCUCAUAUUGUUGCACUACAUAUUGUUGCAUCGCAUAUAUUUAAUUAAAUCAGUAAUCUUAUCAUUAUUUGAAAGCAGUUGACUGACCCAUAUAUUUAUAUAUGGGCGGUAUAGCCCAUGAUGCAGGUACGAAAGAGUAUAAAGCUCAAGAAUUGGAUUUUGUUAGCAUUGAAGAAUUAGAACUGUUUAUUAAUGUAGUUAAUGAUUGUAGUAAUUUCUUUGUAUCAAUUUGGAAUGUAAUACUUUAAUUACAUUUGUCACUCAAUAAACUCUGAUGUAUCUUUUUAAAGAAAAUAAAUUUAUAUUCCGAUGCGUCAGUUAUCUCUGAUGUAGUAACGUCACGUGGGAACCGGAGGUUUCUGCUUACGAAUUUGCUGGCUCAAAUUCGGAGCGUUACACAGUUUGUUUUGCCCCCUAUGUCUCGUGAGAGAUCUUUGCAGUUACUUAUUGGGGAAGACAAAAAAAGCAGGUCAAGCGACUGUUUUUCUGUAUUGGCAUCAUCAGGUUUGAUCUUGCCUUGCAUAUGAGGUUAAUUCCAUAUUGCAUUUUUUUUAAUAAAAAAAAAAAAAUUGGGGAGAAAUUGCAGGAUUUCUCUUUCUUGGCAUAUCAGAUAUUGCAUGUGUUUUCACCUGAUAUCUCAAUUCUGUGUGCAUUAAUCUACUCUGCUUAGAUAUAAUUGAGAGUUUAUGAUUAUAUAUGCCAAGUGUUUUCCUGUUUAUGCAAAAGUAGGAUAGCUUAUUUCCUCAUACGAUGAAAAUGUGCACUAUCCAAGACUCCCUAACAGGUACAUCUUUCCUUCUCUAACUUUUUGUUUCUAGAAAUUUUGGAUAAGAGAAGAGGUCUUUGAUAAGAUGGCCAAAUUGACUACAUACUAGUUGAACCUAGAACCUAAAAACUCUAGCAUUCCUUUUAGAUUGCAACACCAUAAGAAUCAAGCAGUUAAUCAUAUGAAUUCUGUGCUUUAAAUUGUAUAUUCACUGCUUAUGUGCUAAAUUUGCCAUAUGCCUUGCCCUCUACGUGCAAGUAAAAUUUUUACUUUGUCCUUCAUGGUACAAGUAAAACAAUUAGGUGCUGCAUCUCAGGGAGAGUGUAUCAAAUGAGCGUGGCUAGGCCCUAGUAAGUUAUAAGGUUUGACUUUUGACUAAUCUUUCACUGAUUCUCUCUCUUGUCUAGAAAAUCUAGUUGCCAUUUGUCACGUCAUUGAAAGCCAUACCUUAUGGGUUAAGUCUUCACACACACACGCAUUGCAUGAGUUGAGUUGUUGAUGAGUGCCAAAAAGUGUAUAUUUGGACCCCUUAAUUUACAUUAGUUAAACCUUUAGCUUUGUUAUUUUCUAAUGCUUUGGUUAGCUUUAGUGUUUUUAUAUUUUGUAGGACAAUAAGAGAGAAAUGAUAUAAUUCAAGCAAAAUACAAGGAAAUUCGGAUGCAGCAGACUACUAGAUUUAGACUUAUCAUAACAGGACCAAACGAUAUCCAUUUUGAGAGUUUCUUAGGUCUAAAUUGAAGUUCAAGAUGUCAGCUUUCCAACGCAACAAGUUUCAGCCAGUUUGAAGAUGCAUGGAAAAAGAUAUGGCUCUUUUAAUUUUAGUCGUCGGAUCAUCCCGAAAAUCCGGAACUUUGUCCAUCUCUCUUAAUUUUUUUUGUCCCAUUCCUUGUCUCCCCAAAGCUUGGACAGCACGUGAAGAACAGCAAGGGCAGCACCUGCAGCAGCACUUAGUGGAGGGCAGCAACAAAUUCUUCCCACUCGGCCAAACAUCAUCUCUCCUUCCUUCCACUAAACCCCAUAAAAUAAUACCACUCAUCUCCCCACUCAACAUAAAAUACUCAUCUCAUCACUCAUUCCUUCCACCCAACCGGCCAGCAUGCACCAUCAAUUGCGUUAUUCUUUCCAUGAAUCACGCAUUGCCCAUACUGAACCCUCCAGCUGGACAGCACCGAAAAAUCUGGCACACACGUGAUUGAGAGAGGGCUGAUGCCCUAGAGCUUGCACUAUAUAUAUUUGUUGUUUCUCUUGUAAAAGUGGGUGGGAGUAGAGGCGUGAGCCUCUCUGUACAUAACGUCUUUGGCUUUUGUUCUCAUGCAAUUUUCUCUUUUUUUUCUGAUGUUUCAGUGUGGAGCGUCCGGACGGUCCUUCUUGGUGUCCGGACGGGGAUGGAGCUUAGUCGUCCGGAUGGGAUCAGUUUACGUCCGGACGCACGCGGCACCAAACAACCGGACGAUCAGGAUAGACAUCCAGACGCGCGUGACCUGUCCGCUCAUUUCCGAGGUAGCGAGCGUCCGGACGGCAUUAAUACACCGUCCGGACGGGGACCCCACGGACUCUAUAAAAGGCCCCUGGUUGCUGUUUCUCCUCCCUACCCCACCAAAAUCUCACUUUUUGGCUUGUUGUGAGUGAUUUCUUAAGUGUUUUUUGCUUUAUCUCAUCCCUCCUUGUCUUUUUGUGCAUUAAUCUCACAUUCCAGGUAUUCUUCUAGUCUUUUUCUCUUCAAUUUACUUUUAACUGUUAGAAUGUUGAUUAUUUAGGAAUGUUUUGAGAUUAUAUAUUUGCCAUAUUGAGAUUAUUUGUGGUGAUACAUUGUGGGACUAAAAUGUGAUAAUUUAUGUCUAUAUUUUUGAAAUAUUCCUUUUACUGCUGUUAUUCUGCCCAAUUUUUGUUGUAACCUAACAAGAAUAUUUUGUUUUCGAUUAUUUUUGGCAAAAUCUUGUUGGUUUCUUUUUGCAGAAUCUUGUCUGCAGGCAGUCCACAGCGCAGGGUCCGCCAGAGGACUGUGGAAGAUCGGGCUGCACUUCAAGCCAAAACUAUGGAUCGCACAGUCAUAGCCGAGCGGAAUGUGAUCCGCUUUGACAUCAUGGUGCCACCUCUGGAUAGCAUCCACGACAUUAUCCAGACAUACCAUUGGGGAUAUCUUCACACCUGCGCCUGUGUGGUGUACACCAGGCUAGUCAAACUCUUUAAUGCCAACCUAGAGGUGGUGCAGGACGAUGAUCACGGGUUGGUGCUUCAGUCUAUUGUUGACAGCCAUAUCAUCACUGUUGAUCCCUAGAUCAUCAGUUGCUUCAUCGGAGUUCUUGUCCUCGAGAUAUAUGGCAGCCCAUACAAUGAGGUUGUACACCCUCCUUCCAUGGAUGAUCUUCGGGAGUUUUUCCAACCUGUUCCACAGGGUGAGGAGCGAGUCACCACCAUCAGGAUCAGCGCUUUAUCCCCCUCCCACCGUAUGUUGGCAAAGAUUGUCCAGCAUAAUCUCUGGCCAGUUGUCAGGCGCAGUGACCUGAUUCUGAAGAAGGCCCGGUUCGUUUAUGCCAUCCACCUCCGCUUGCCUUUUUGUCUGUGCAAGCAUAUUUUGGGCGUGAUUUUGGAAGCCCGUGAUGAGGGCAAUACCGGUCUCCCCUUUGGCUGCCUACUCACUCAGAUCAUUCUUCAAUCUGGCAUCAAUGUUACUGUAGAACCUAAGAUGAAGAUUCAGCAACCCAUCAGCAAGCAGACUUUGAUGAAGUCUAAUGCGCAACUGCGGAGAGAUGACUCCGAUGAUGAGGCCCAUACCUGCCGCCAGGCCUGUUCGUUUUCCGGACAUGGCUUCAUCCUCUCAGACUGUCCCGCCAUCUGAGCUGGAGGUCAACUAUUCUCAGAUCAUGGAGGCUCUAGCUGCCAUUCAGGGAGGGAUGAACACUAUGCAGGUUUCUAUGUCCUCCAUGCAGCAGUCCAUCACCGCUAUGCAGCUGGAAGUGCACUCCAUCAACAAGCGUGUGGAGCAAAACCAGCUGGACCUCAAGGAGUGCCUCAAGUACCAUCAUCCUGACAACAGUGAUGAUAAGGAUGAUGCACCUAAGACUGCACCUAUGGCAGAGGACGCUUGAGUGUUUUUUCCUUUGUUUAGUUUGUUUUGUCUGUAUUUGAGACAUUUAGUUUAUCUUCUACUGUUUGUUAAACUUUUGGACUUAUAUUACUCUGUUUACCCUGGUCCUUCUGAGACCAUUAGGGGGAGUAAUUUUUAUUGCAGUUGAUUUUUUUACUCUGUUUUACCCUUUGUGCCUUUGUGACAUAAAGGGGGAGUAAUUUUUAUUGUUGGACCGGAAUGGUAUUUCUAAACCGGUCAAUUGAUUUUUGUCCCAGAAUGGCCAAAUGGGGAGUUUGUUAGUUUGUAAUUGGCCUUAUUCUGUUGGACAAAAUCACAUGUUUGUAAAGAAGCCUUAUAAUAGGGAUUCCACUAUUCAGAAGUGUUUCAGAA